rnacentral:tRNA from 1 species
CUUGUAGUUCAAUGGAUAGAAUAUCGGACUUCGGAUCCGCCGAUGAGGGUUCGACUCCUUCCAGGUGC